rnacentral:pre_miRNA from 11 species
CUGAGACGGAGGCAGUUAAGACUUGCAGUGAUGUUUAGGGCAAUGAUCACAUGAACAUCACUCUAAGUCUGUGCUGGCUCCUCUCUCCUU